CAGCCGCCGCGGUAAUACGUAGGUGGCGAGCGUUGUCCGGAAUUAUUGGGCGUAAAGGGUGCGUAGGCGGUCCAUUAAGUCUGAUUUGAAAGCCCAUGGCUUAACCAUGGAGGGAGAUUGGAAACUGGUGGACUUGAGGACAGGAGAGGAAGGUGGAAUUCCACGUGUAGCGGUGAAAUGCGUAGAGAUGUGGAGGAACACCAGUGGCGAAGGCGGCCUUCUGGCCUGUAACUGACGCUGAUGCACGAAAGCGUGGGUAGCAAACAGGAUUAGAUACCCUGGUAGUCCACGCCGUAAACGAUGAGUACUAAGUGUUGGGGGAAACCUCGGUGCUGAAGUUAACGCAUUAAGUACUCCGCCUGGGGAGUACGGUCGCAAGACUGAAACUCAAAGGAAUUGACGGGGACCCGCACAAGCGGUGGAGCAUGUGGUUUAAUUCGACGCAACGCGAAGAACCUUACCAGGCCUUGACAUCCCAAUGACGGCUGUAGAGAUACAGCGUUCCUUCGGGACAUUGGAGACAGGUGGUGCAUGGCC
rnacentral:rRNA from 1 species